rnacentral:rRNA from 2 species
GGGUGGUAAUGCCGGAUGUUCCAGUUGAUCGCAUGGUCUUCUGGGAAAGCUUUCGCGGUAUGGGAUGGGGUCGCGUCCUAUCAGCUUGACGGCGGGGUAACGGCCCACCGUGGCUUCGACGGGUAGCCGGCCUGAGAGGGCGACCGGCCACAUUGGGACUGAGAUACGGCCCAGACUCCUACGGGAGGCAGCAGUGGGGAAUAUUGCACAAUGGGCGCAAGCCUGAUGCAGCGACGCCGCGUGAGGGAUGGAGGCCUUCGGGUUGUAAACCUCUUUUAUCGGGGAGCAAGCGUGAGUGAGUUUACCCGUUGAAUAAGCACCGGCUAACUACGUGCCAGCAGCCGCGGUAAU